AUUCCAGCUCCAAUAGCGUAUAUUUAAGUUGUUGCAGUUAAAAAGCUCGUAGUUGGACCUUGGGACGUCACGGUCGGUCCGCCUUCUUGGUGUGCACUGGCCCUCACGUCCCUUCUGCCGGCGGCGUGUUCCUGGCCUUAAUUGGCUGGGUCGCGGUUCCGGCGCCGUUACUUUGAAAAAAUUAGAGUGCUCAAAGCAAGCCUACGCUCUGAAUACAUUAGCAUGGAAUAACGCGAUAGGAGUCUGGUCCUGUUCCGUUGGCCUUCGGGACCGGAGUAAUGAUUAAUAGGGACUGUCGGGGGCAUUCGUAUUUCAUUGUCAGAGGUGAAAUUCUUGGAUUUAUGGAAGACGAACCACUGCGAAAGCAUUUGCCAAGGAUGUUUUCAUCA
rnacentral:rRNA from 1 species